rnacentral:rRNA from 1 species
UACGAAGGGGGCUAGCGUUGCUCGGAAUCACUGGGCGUAAAGCGCACGUAGGCGGAUCUUUAAGUCAGGGGUGAAAUCCCAAGGCUCAACCUUGGAACUGCCUUUGAUACUGGGGAUCUCGAGUCCGGAAGAGGUGAGUGGAACCGCGAGUGUAGAGGUGAAAUUCGUAGAUAUUCGCAAGAACACCAGUGGCGAAGGCGGCUCACUGGUCCGGUACUGACGCUGAGGUGCGAAAGCGUGGGGAGCAAACAGG